rnacentral:rRNA from 1 species
UCCCUUCGGGGGUGCCUUACACAUGCAAGUCGAACGGCAGCACGGACUUCGGUCUGGUGGCGAGUGGCGAACGGGUGAGUAAUGUAUCGGAACGUGCCUAGUAGCGGGGGAUAACUACGCGAAAGCGUAGCUAAUACCGCAUACGCCCUACGGGGGAAAGCAGGGGAUCGUAAGACCUUGCACUAUUAGAGCGGCCGAUAUCGGAUUAGCUAGUUGGUGGGGUAACGGCUCACCAAGGCGACGAUCCGUAGCUGGUUUGAGAGGACAACCACCCACCCUGGGACUGAAACACGGCCCAAACUCCUACGGGAGGCAGCAGUGGGGAAUUUUGGACAAUGGGGGAAAUCUUUAUCACGCCC